rnacentral:RNase_P_RNA from 1 species
AGCGCAGACCGCCUUAUCGUCGUUCAGUCCCGAUAGCUAUCGGGGCGGGAGGGAGGAAAGUCCGGACACCAUAGAGAAGCAUAGCGGGUAACGCCCGUCGGUUCUCUCGUUUUUAGGAACGAGAGGAUUAGGACAAGUGCAGCAGAAAGUAUGUACAGGUAAUGCUGUAGUGAAACCAGGUAAACUCUAUGCGGUGAAAUACCAAGUAUAUCGGCAUUUAAGGGCUUCUCGUUCGUUGCCGAAGGGUAGGUAGAUUGAGUCCAGCAGUAAUGCUGGAUCUAGAUAAAUGAUAAGGUAUUGUCUUGUUGCAAAAUAAGACAAGAACAGAAUCCGGCUUACAGGUCUGCAUUUUUU